CAGUCGCCGCGGUAACACAGAGGGUGCGAGCGUUAAUCGGAUUUACUGGGCGUAAAGCGUGCGUAGGCGGCUUCUUAAGUCGGAUGUGAAAUCCCUGAGCUUAACUUAGGAAUUGCAUUCGAUACUGGGAAGCUAGAGUAUGGGAGAGGAUGGUAGAAUUCCAGGUGUAGCGGUGAAAUGCGUAGAGAUCUGGAGGAAUACCGAUGGCGAAGGCAGCCAUCUGGCCUAAUACUGACGCUGAGGUACGAAAGCAUGGGGAGCAAACAGGAUUAGAGACCCCAGUAGUCCCUGUCUCUUAUAC
rnacentral:rRNA from 1 species